rnacentral:rRNA from 1 species
UACGAAGGGGGCUAGCGUUGUUCGGAAUGACUGGGCGUAAAGCGCACGUAGGCGGAUUGGUCAGUUGGGGGUGAAAUCCCGGGGCUCACCCUCGGAACUGCCUCCAAUACUGCCAAUCUUGAGUUCGGGAGAGGUGAGUGGAAUUCCUAGUGUAGAGGUGGAAUUCGUAGAUAUUAGGAAGAACACCAGUGGCGAAGGCGGCUCACUGGCCCGAUACUGACGCCGAGGUGCCAAAGCGUGGGGAGCAAACAGG